GCCCGUGUAGCGUAAUUGGAUAACGCGUUAGUCUUCUAAACUAAAGAUUGCGGGUUCGACCCCCGCCAUGGGUU